rnacentral:rRNA from 1 species
ACGGGUGCGUAACGCGUGGGAAUCUGCCCUUGGGUUCGGAAUAACAGUUAGAAAUGACUGCUAAUACCGGAUGAUGUCUUCGGACCAAAGAUUUAUCGCCCAAGGAUGAGCCCGCGUAAGAUUAGCUAGUUGGUGGGGUAAUGGCCCGCCAAGGCGACGAUCUUUAGCUGGUCUGAGAGGAUGAUCAGCCACACUGGGACUGAGACACGGCCCAGACUCCUACGGGAGGCAGCAGUGGGGAAUAUUGGACAAUGGGCGAAAGCCUGAUCCAGCAAUGCCGCGUGAGUGAUGAAGGCCUUAGGGUUGUAAAGCUCUUUACCAGGGAUGAUAAUAACAGUACCUGGAGAAUAAGCUCCGGCUAACUCCGUGCCAGCAGCCGCGGUAAUACGGAGGGAGCUAGCGUUGUUCGGAAUUACUGGGCGUAAAGCGUACGUAGGCGGUUACUCAAGUCAGAGGUGAAAGCCCGGGACUCAACCCCGGAACUGCCUUUGAAACUAGGUAGCUAGAGUCUUGGAGAGGUUAGUGGAAUUCCGAGUGUAGAGGUGAAAUUCGUAGA